CAGUAGCCGCGGUAAUACGUAGGUGGCAAGCGUUGUCCGGAAUUAUUGGGCGUAAAGGGCUCGCAGGCGGUUUCUUAAGUCUGAUGUGAAAGCCCUCGGCUCAACCGGGGAGGGUCAUUGGAAACUGGGAAACUUGAGUGCAGAAGAGGAGAGUGGAAUUCCACGUGUAGCGGUGAAAUGCGUAGGGAUGUGGAGGAACACCAGUGGCGAAGGCGACUCUCUGGUCUGUAACUGACGCUCAUGCACGAAAGCGUGGGGAGCAAACAGGAUUAGAUACCCGUGUAGUCCCUGUCUCUUAUAC
rnacentral:rRNA from 1 species